rnacentral:rRNA from 1 species
AACGCGAAGAACCUUACCUACCCUUGACAUCCAACGAAGACUGCAGAGAUGCGGUUGUGCCGCAAGGAACGUUGAGACAGGUGCUGCAUGGCUGUCGUCAGCUCGUGUUGUGAGAUGUUGGGUUAAGUCCCGUAACGAGCGCAACCCUUGUCCUUAGUUGCCAGCAUUGAGUUGGGGACUCUAAGGAGACUGCCGGUGAUGAACCGGAGGAAGGCGGGGACGACGUCAAGUCAUCAUGGCCUUUAUGGGUAGGGCCACACACGUGCUACAAUGGGCGGUACAAAGGGCAGCGAAAGCGCGAGCUGGAGCCAAUCCCAAAAAGCCGUUCGUAGUCCGGAUCGGAGUCUGCAACUCGACUCCGUGAAGUCGGAAUCGCUAGUAAUCGUGAAUCAGAAUGUCGCGGUGAAUACGUUCCCGGGCCUUGUACACACCGCUCGUC